rnacentral:siRNA from 1 species
AAAGCGUGGAGAAAUCACAGUGCC